UACAGAGGUGGCAAGCGUUGCUCGGUAUCACUGGGCUUAAAGGGCGCGUAGGCGGUGCGGUACGGUUUCGGUGAAAUCCCUCGGCCCAACCGAGGAACAGCCGGGGCUACGGCCGCGCUAGACGGCAUCAGGGGACAGUGGAACUCCCGGUGGAGCGGUGAAAUGCGUAGAUAUCGUAAGGAAGACCAGUGGCGAAGGCGGGUCUCUGGACAGUUCCUGACGCUGAGGCACGAAGGCCAGGGGAGCAAACGGG
rnacentral:rRNA from 1 species